AGUCCACUGGGACAUUGAAACUGGGUCAGUGGGUUUCCACCUUCUGGUUUCCCAAGUGCUGUGUUGAGCAUUUGCAUUUAGUGCGGAAAGGGACAGUUCAUAGAGAAGAUGACAAGAUCAAAUCAGACUGAACUGAGUGAUCCAGUGUGGUCUCAGCAUCAAAUUUUAAGCUGUCUGUGUUCAAGAAGAAAAGCUGCCUAUUAAAGAAAUGAGAAAUAAAGUGGUCCUGAUAGUCCAGUCA